UACGUAGGGACCAAGCGUUGUCCGGAAUCAUUGGGCGUAAAGAGCGUGUAGGCGGCCUGUUAAGUCUUGCGUGAAAUCUCGGGGCUCAACCCCGAGCGGUCGUGAGAAACUGGCAGGCUAGAGUGCGGGAGAGGAGAGUGGAAUUCCUGGUGUAGCGGUGAAAUGCGUAGAUAUCUGGAGGAAUACCGGUGGCGAAGGCGGCAUCCUGGACCAUUACUGACGCUGAGGCGCGAAAGCUAGGGGAGCAAACGGG
rnacentral:rRNA from 1 species